ACCGGCGGACGGGUGCGUAACACGUAUGCAACUUGCCUUGUACUCGGGGAUAACAUUAGGAAACUAGUGCUAAUAUCCGAUGGUCUUAUAGGUCGGCAUCGGUUUAUAAGUAAAGGUAACGGUACAAGAUGGGCAUGCGCAUGAUUAGCUGGUUGGGGAGGUAACGGCUCACCAAGGCGACGAUCAUUAGGGGUUCUGAGAGGAAGGUCCCCCACACCGGCACUGAGAUACGGGCCGGACUCCUACGGGAGGCAGCAGUAGGGAAUCUUGGUCAAUGGGCGGAAGCCUGAACCAGCCACGCCGCGUGCAGGAAGAAGGUCCUUAGGAUUGUAAACUGCUUUUAACAGGGGGUAAAAAGGCUCUGCGGAGCAAAUUGAAAGUACCUGUGGAAUAAGCACCGGCUAACUACGUGCCAGCAGCCGCGGUAAUACGUAGGGUGCAAGCGUUGUCCGGAAUUACUGGGUUUAAAGGGUGCGUAGGCGGGUCUAUAAGUCAGCGGUAAAAUAUUCAGGCUCAACUUGGGUUGUGCCGUUGAUACUGUAGGUCUUGAGAAAAGAUAACGAAGCCGGAAUUCAUGGUGUAGCGGUGAAAUGCAUAGAUACCAUGAGGAACACCGAUAGCGUAGGCAGGUUUCGGGUCUUUAUCUGACGCUGAUGCACGACAGCAUGGGGAUCAAACAGGAUUAGAUACCCUGGUAGUC
rnacentral:rRNA from 1 species